AACGAACGCUGGCGGCAUGCCUAACACAUGCCAGUCGAACGAGACCUUCGGGUCUAGUGGCGCACGGGUGCGUAACGCGUGGGAACCUGCCCUUAGGUUCGGAAUAACUCCCCGAAAGGGGUGCUAAUACCGGAUAAUGUCUUCGGACCAAAGAUUUAUCGCCUUUGGAUGGGCCCGCGUUGGAUUAGCUAGUUGGUAGGGUAAAAGCCUACCAAGGCGACGAUCCAUAGCUGGUCUGAGAGGAUGAUCAGCCACACUGGGACUGAGACACGGCCCAGACUUCUACGGGAGGCAGCAGUGGGGAAUAUUGGACAAUGGGCGAAAGCCUGAUCCAGCAAUGCCGCGUGAGUGAUGAAGGCCUUAGGGUUGUAAAGCUCUUUUACCCGGGAUGAUAAUGACAGUACCGGGAGAAUAAGCUCCGGCUAACUCCGUG
rnacentral:rRNA from 1 species